rnacentral:rRNA from 1 species
GAUGAACGCUGGCGGCGUGCCUAAUACGUGCAAGUCGAGCGAACGGACGAGAAGCUUGCUUUUCUGAUGUUAGCGGCGGACGGGUGAGUAACACGUGGAUAACCUACCUAUAAGACUGGGAUAACUUCGGGAAACCGUAUCUAAUACCGGAUAAUAUUUUGAACCGCAUGGUUCAAAAGUGAAAUACGGUCUUGCUGUCACUUAUAGAUGGAUCCGCGCUGCAUUAGCUAGUUGGUAAGGUAACGGCUUACCAAGGCAACGAUGCAUAGCCGACCUGAGAGGGUGAUCGGCCACACUGGAACUGAGACACGGUCCAGACUCCUACGGGAGGAAGCAGUAGGGAAUCUUCCGCAAUGGGCGAAAGCCUGACGGAGCAACGCCGCGUGAGCGAUGAAGGUCUUCGGAUCGUAAAACUCUGUUAUUAGGGAAGAACAUAUGUGUAAGUAACUGUGCACAUCUUGACGGUACCUAAUCAGAAAGCCACGGCUAACUCCGUG